rnacentral:rRNA from 1 species
GGCGAACGCUGGCGGCGUGCCUAAUACAUGCAAGUCGAGCGGAAGUUGGAGAGCUUGCUCUUCAACUUUAGCGGCGGACGGGUGAGUAACACGUGGGCAACCUGCCCUGCAGAUCGGGAUAACUCCGGGAAACCGGUGCUAAUACCGGAUAGUUUUCGCCACCUCCUGGUGUCGUACGGAAAGACGGUUUCGGCUGUCACUGCAGGGUGGGCCCGCGGCGCAUUAGCUAGUUGGUGGGGUAACGGCCCACCAAGGCGACGAUGCGUAGCCGACCUGAGAGGGUGAUCGGCCACACUGGGACUGAGACACGGCCCAGACUCCUACGGGAGGCAGCAGUAGGGAAUCUUCCGCAAUGGACGAAAGUCUGACGGAGCAACGCCGCGUGAGUGACGAAGGUUUUCGGAUCGUAAAACUCUGUUGUGAGGGAAGAACAAGUACCACUUAACUACUGGUACCUUGACGGUACCUCACCAGAAAGCCACGGCUAACUACGUGCCAGCCGCCGCGGUAACAC